rfam:Ciona savignyi cont_32839, whole genome shotgun sequence.
UCCAACAUGGUCUAGUGGUCAGGAUUCCUGGCUUUUACCCAGGCGGCCCGGGUUCGAUUACCGGUGUAGGAA